rnacentral:rRNA from 1 species
AAGACGUCCGUUGGUUGAAAGCACUUUUGUCCGGAAAGAAAACCUCUUGGAUAAUACCUGAGGGGGAUGACGGUACCGGAAGAAUAAGCACCGGCUAACUACGUGC